rnacentral:rRNA from 1 species
AUUGAACGCUGGCGGCAUGCCUUACACAUGCAAGUCGAACGGCAGCAUGAUCUAGCUUGCUCGAUUGAUGGCGAGUGGGGAACGGGUGAGUAAUACAUCGGAACGUGCCCUGUAGUGGGGGAUAACUAGUCGAAAGAUUAGCUAAUACCGCAUACGACCUGAGGGUGAAAGUGGGGGACCGCAAGGCCUCAUGCUAUAGGAGCGGCCGAUGUCUGAUUAGCUAGUUGGUGAGGUAAAGGCUCACCAAGGCGACGAUCAGUAGCUGGUCUGAGAGGACGAUCAGCCACACUGGGACUGAGACACGGCCCAGACUCCUACGGGAGGCAGCAGUGGGGAAUUUUGGACAAUGGGCGAAAGCCUGAUCCAGCAAUGCCGCGUGUGUGAAGAAGGCCUUCGGGUUGUAAAGCACUUUUGUCCGGAAAGAAAUGGCUCUGGUUAAUACCUGGGGUCGAUGACGGUACCGGAAGAAUAAGGACCGGCUAACUACGUG